rnacentral:rRNA from 1 species
UUCCUACGGGGGGCAGCAGUGGGGGAUAUUGCACAAUGGGGGGAACCCUGAUGCAGCGACGCCGCGUGGGCGAUGGAGCGCCACGGCGCGUAAAGCCCUAUCAGCAGGGAAGAGGACGACGGUACCUGACUAAGAAGCCCCGGCUAAAUACGUGCCAGCAGCCGCGGUAAUACGUAGGUGACAAGCGUUGUCCGGAUUUACUGGGUGUAAAGGGCGCGUAGGCGGGAUAGCAAGUCAGUCGUGAAAUGCCGAGGCUUAACCUCGGAGCUGCGAUUGAAACUGUUAUUCUUGAGUAUCGGAGAGGG